UUUGCACGUUCUACGUGGUCAGUCAUCCAAAUAGCGUCAAGUUUAUAUCCGCCCACAAGUGUUGCCAAUAUUUUUGGUCAUUGGUUGGACGGUAUUUCAAAUAGGUUCAAAACGCUAUUAAGGGUGGGAGCGUAUGGCUUACUAUGGUCGCUUUGGCUAUGUAGAAAUGAUUUUGUUUUUAAUGACAAAAAUGCUUCUCCUUUGCAGGCUAUUUUCCGUUGUACGCAUUCGCUUCGUAUGUGGUCUAUGCUACAACGAGCGGAGGUCCAACCGUUGUUCAAGGCGGUGUGUACGCGGUUGGAGCAGGUGGCUACGGAGGUUUUUACCCAACAUGGGUGGCAGCAUAACCUCCGGAUCGGUCCAUCUCACCUUUCGACAUAG
rnacentral:rRNA from 1 species